AGAGUGGAAUCCUCCGCAGCCGUGAAGACUGGUCCCGAGCCAGAAACCAACAUGGGUGAAAGAAGCCAGAUGUGAAGGAAUACACGCGCUGAAUGGUUCCAUCCUGGGACGGACCGGAACAGGCAAAACUAGGAUACUGUCCGAGGUCAGAAUCAUGGUUUCCUUUAAAGAGUGGGUGGGGGGGGUGGGGGGCAGAAGAUGAAUUGGAGCAUCGGGGGGUGAUUUGGGACGCUGGCAGGGUUCUGCCUCUCAUCUGAGUGGGGGGGGGGGGUACAGGAGGCACUUGCUGAAAAUUCAUCGAGCUCUGGCCUUUUUCUCCUAUAUCCUUCCCGUUGUUUGAACAGUGUCGUUGAGCUGUAUCCACCCACUUCAAGUGUGUAAACCUGAGUGGGUUUGUGUGUGUUCGCAGAGCUGGGCAAGCAUCACCCCGUCCAGUUCUGGAACCUUUUCAUCACCCCGGAAAGUAAACAGGGACCUGCUAACAGUCACUCCCCGGCUGCCCCCACUCUCCCAGCCCCGGGCAGUCACGAUUCUCCGGUCCGAGUUACCCACUCUCGCCGCGUGACUGCAGGUUAGAUUUAAACUGAAAUGUACAAGGCGCUGAAUGAAAUAACCACAGGCCACGGGCAGACACUACCCUCCGCCCCUCACUUCUGCGUCCCGCACUUGUCUGUGUUCUUCGGUCAGUCACCCGCCUGGCCCCGGAGGCAUUCAAAGCUGUGACUCCUGGGAUAGAUGAUCCGAGGGUGUUUUCCUGUGGGAAUAUCCCUUGUUUCUCAUUUCUCCCGCAUGGGAGCAGGUCCGGGUCCAACCAUCCUUUAAUGGAGACGGGAGGUGAAGAUCCGUUUGCCAGCCCGUCUCCUGCAUCUAAGCUGCGGCUUUCCCCGGACAGCGAUGUGCCUCCGGAUGGAGUCAUCUCUCCGGACCCCUUCACCGGCCCCCACCUGCUGCUCUGGAGGGAGAGAGGCCUUGGCAGGCGCCCAGCGGGCCCCUCGCUCGG
rnacentral:lncRNA from 1 species